rnacentral:tRNA from 1 species
GCCUCGGUAGCUCAGUUGGUAGAGCAACGGAUUGAAAAUCCGUGUGUCGCCGGUUCGAUUCCGGCCUGAGGC